UCAUCCUCUACACUCAGAUCUUUCCUACAUACUCCACUCCUCAGAGCAUCCUCUACCCCUCUUCAAUCAGCCCUAUCCUCUUAAUCGACACACCUCAAUCUGCUCCAAAACCCUCUAUCCUGGCCAUAAACCUCCUCCAUACUCUCCCUCACCUCCAAAACUUCCUCCACCAUCAAGAAAUCAUCCCAAGUCCUAAAAAAAUACCCAACUUCCCUUCCACCUCAAACAUCUUCUACACUCUCGAAUCAUUUCCAUAUUCUUCACUUAUUUUCCAAAACCAUCUUCCAAACUCUCAAACCAUUUCCUACAUAUUCCAAAUCACAUCCAAAAUUCUCACUCACUUCAAGUAUAUUCACAUACUCAAUACUUCAUGCAUCAUUUUCAUAUACCUGAAAUGCCCAUUUGUUUAAAAGAAAACUAAAGGAAUCUUGGGGAGAAAAGAGGAUUUAUACAUAUAAUAUAUAUGUGUAUAAAUAGGACGUUACGUGGUGGUUACGGUAUGACGAAAAUCGAAAAACACAAGAUUAAAAAGAUCGUUCACAUCAGGUGCCGACUGCUGAAGCUACUAGGUUCCAAAGGUACAAUGAUCUUAUGUCUAUGAGGUCGUCAUGUUGAUCAUUGUAACAAUAUUUGAUGAGUAAGAGACGAAACAGUGAUUGGUAUGAUCACAGAGAUCUUUAGAGGGAUCUAAAGACGUUAUCAAAGAUAUUCACGCAUGUGUUCAGGGGGAGCCUGAAACUAGACAUUGUGAAGAUAAGUAAUUCAGGGGGAGCCUGGAGUCUGAUGUCAAGACGCAUGUUAUUAAGUUAUAUUAUUGAACAGAGUACCAUAUGAUGUAUCAAUGUAUAUUGACUCAAGUGAAUAUUAAUAAAGAUUACUCAUCAGGAUUGUACGCA